rnacentral:rRNA from 1 species
UACAGAGGUCUCAAGCGUUGUUCGGAUUCAUUGGGCGUAAAGGGUGCGUAGGCGGCGCGGUAAGUCGGGUGUGAAAUCUCGGAGCUUAACUCCGAAACUGCAUUCGAUACUGCCGUGCUUGAGGACUGGAGAGGAGACUGGAAUUUACGGUGUAGCGGUGAAAUGCGUAGAUAUCGUAAGGAAGACCAGUGGCGAAGGCGGCCGGCUGGGGGUGACCUGACGCUGAGGCGCGAAAGCGUGGGGAGCGAACCGG